CAAAUUAGAGCUUGAGUAAGUAUCUCAUUUACAUUGAGAAGAAAUUAAAAUUUAAUUAAUUUGA
rnacentral:tRNA from 1 species